UACGUAGGUGGCAAGCGUUGUCCGGAUUUACUGGGCGUAAAGAGCGCGCAGGCGGUCGGAUAAGUCGAAUGUGAAAGCCCCCGGCUCAACUGGGGAGGGUCACGCGAUACUGAUCGACUCGAAGGCAGGAGAGGGUAGUGGAAUUCCCGGUGUAGUGGUGAAAUGCGUAGAUAUCGGGAGGAACACCAGUGGCGAAGGCGACUACC
rnacentral:rRNA from 1 species